GGGACUUUGGUGUAAUUGGUAGCCACGACAGGUUUAAAACCUCUUUCUUUUCAAGAGUAUCGGUUCGAGUCCGAUAAGUCCUA
rnacentral:tRNA from 1 species